rnacentral:rRNA from 1 species
AGAGUUUGAUCAUGGCUCAGGAUGAACGCUGGCGGCGUGCCUAAUACAUGCAAGUCGAGCGGAGAAUAUAGCAAUAUGUUCUUAGCGGCGAACGGGUGAGUAACGCGUUGGUGACCUGCCCCGAAGAGGGGGAUAACAGUUCGAAAGGACUGCUAAUACCCCAUGUUAUCACGAGGAUUAGAUGCCAUGUGAUUAAAGGAGAAAUCCACUUUGGGAGGGACCUGCGUCCCAUCAGCUAGUUGGUAGGGUAACGGCCUACCAAGGCUUUGACGGGUAGGGGACCUGAGAGGGUGGCCCCCCACAAUGGAACUGAAACACGGUCCAUACACCUACGGGUGGCAGCAGUAGGGAAUAUUGCAUAAUGGGCGAAAGCCUGAUGCAGCAACGCCGCGUGUGCGAUGAAGGUCUUCGGAUCGUAAAGCACUUUUUGAGGGGAUGAGGAAGGACAGUACCCUCAGAAUAAGCCUCGGCUAACUACGUGCCAGCAGCCGCGGUAAAACGUAGGAGGCAAGCGUUAUCCGGAUUUACUGGGCGUAAAGCGCGUGCAGGCGGUUCGGUAAGUUGGAUGUGAAAGCUCCCGGCUUAACUGGGAGAGGUCGUUCAAUACUACCGGACUCGAGAGUGGUAGAGGGAGGUGGAAUUCCCGGCGUAGUGGUGAAAUGCGUAGAUAUCGGGAGGAACACCAGUGGCGAAAGCGGCCUCCUGGACCAUUUCUGACGCUCAGACGCGAAAGCUAGGGUAGCAAACGGGAUUAGAGACCCCGGUAGUCCUAGCUGUAAACGAUGUGAACUUGGCGUCGGUGGUGUAAAAACCAUCGGUGCCGAAGCUAACGCGAUAAGUUCACCGCCUGGGGACUACGGCCGCAAGGUUAAAACUCAAAGGAAUUGACGGGACCCCGCACAAGCAGCGGAGCGUGUGGUUUAAUUCGAUGUUACGCGAAGAACCUUACCUGGGUUUGACAUGUACCGAAAAGCUCUAGAGAUAGGGUGUCCUUCGGGGCGGUACACAGGUGGUGCAUGGCUGUCGUCAGCUCGUGUCGUGAGAUGUUGGGUUAAGUCCCGCAACGAGCGCAACCCUUAUCCUAUGUUGCCAGCACGUAAUGGUGGGGACUCGUAGGAGACUGCCGGGGUCAACUCGGAGGAAGGUGGGGAUGACGUCAAGUCAUCAUGCCCCUUAUGCCCAGGGCUGCAAACACGCUACAAUGGCCGGUACAGAGGGCUGCAAUCCCGCGAGGGUGAGCGAAUCCCACAAAGCCGGUCUCAGUUCGGAUUGGAGUCUGCAACUCGACUCCAUGAAGCCGGAGUUGCUAGCAAUCCUGGAUCAGCACGCCAGGGUGAAUACGUUCCCGGGCCUUGUACACACCG